rnacentral:pre_miRNA from 1 species
UUCAAGUAAUCCAGGAUAGGCUGUGUGUGUUCAACGGGCCUGUCCUCGAUUGCUUGCUUU